rnacentral:rRNA from 1 species
AUUGAACGCUGGCGGCAUGCUUUACACAUGCAAGUCGAACGGCAGCGCGGGCUUCGGCCUGGCGGCGAGUGGCGAACGGGUGAGUAAUACAUCGGAACGUGCCCCGUAGUGGGGGAUAGCUCGGCGAAAGCCGGAUUAAUACCGCAUACGACCUGCGGGUGAAAGCGGGGGAUCUUCGGACCUCGCGCUAUUGGAGCGGCCGAUGGCCGAUUAGCUAGUUGGUGGGGUAAAGGCCUACCUAGGCGACGAUCUGUAGCUGGUCUGAGAGGACGACCAGCCACACGAGGACUGAGACACGGCCCAGACUCCUGCGGGAGGCAGCAGUGGGGAAUGUUGGACAAUGGGCGAAAGCCUGAUCCAGCAAUGCCGCGUGUGUGAUGAAGGCCUUCGGGUUGUAAAGCACUUUUGGCGGGAACGAAAAGGACUGCGCCAAUACCACGGUUCGAUGACGGUACCCGCAGAAUAAGCACCGGCUAACUACGUG